rnacentral:rRNA from 1 species
UUCCACGGGCAAACGAAACGGAUCUUUCACUGGUCACACCCGUUCCCAUGCCGAACACGGAAGUUAAGCUCUUCAGCGCCGAUGGUAGUCGGGGGUUUCCCCCUGUGAGAGUAGGACGCCGCCAAGC